CCUCGGUCACGGGACCAAUCCUGCUUCUGCUCUUCCUUCCACUUGCUUUGGCUGAGUUUUAAAGGACAAAGUCGACUCAAAACCUUGCCAUUUCCAAAAAUAAUAGGUUCAACUCUCCCACUACGGGGUGACCUAUAUCAGCAGGCAAAGCUGACCGGGCAGGGGAAGCCAGAGCAAACCUCCUGCUGAAGUGCCUUUCCUCGCCUGACUGCUGCACUGCUGCCUGCUGUGCCUGCUUCAUGGGGAGGAUACAAGCUACAUGGUCUAACUGUCAGCACCGGCAGCAAAAAAAAGACAUUUUUCUUGAUCUCCGGGUUUGAAACAGUGCUAAUAGCACUCCGCUUCUGCACAGAGAAGCGUUGCAGCAGAGAUGGCACCAUGGAAGCUUGUCCCCUGCUUUGCCAUUCUUCCUGCCUGCACCAGACAAGGCUUCUGGGGUAGGUGCAGGAAGGAUGGGGCUCAGAAGGUGAUCCACACCCUGCAAAGCCACCUUUCUCCUCUCCCUGCAUGACCCGCCAAGGACAUGCACUGAAUCCCCAGAGCUUUGUUUUGGUCUUCUUCAAACUGAAGUCCCUGUAUGGGAUUUUUCUGUACACAGACCUCAGACAUGCAGAUAAUAAAAGGCCAGAGAUAUUUUCAGAUGCAUUAUUUCCCAGAAUGAAAGUAUUACUCCAUAAUUUACCAAGGUAUCAAACCCUCCUCAAGUAAAGACCAGCAGAAGGAAAUUCCUGGGCUCUCUCUUCAGAAACCAUUACUUGGAGAAAGACGUGCAUCUUAUCCAUGUUUAUUCUUCUGGGGUUCUUCUGCCAGGAGAAGGUGGCUUUGCAGACA